rnacentral:rRNA from 1 species
AUUGAACGCUGGCGGCAUGCCUUACACAUGCAAGUCGAACGGCAGCACGGGAGCAAUCCUGGUGGCGAGUGGCGAACGGGUGAGUAAUAUAUCGGAACGUGCCCAGUAGUGGGGGAUAACUGCUCGAAAGAGCAGCUAAUACCGCAUACGACCUGAGGGUGAAAGGGGGGGAUCGCAAGACCUCUCGCUAUUGGAGCGGCCGAUAUCAGAUUAGCUAGUUGGUGGGGUAAAGGCCUACCAAGGCAACGAUCUGUAGUUGGUCUGAGAGGACGACCAGCCACACUGGGACUGAGCAACGGCCCAGACUCCUACGGGAGGCAGCAGUGGGGAAUUUUGGACAAUGGGAGCAAGCCUGAUCCAGCAAUGCCGCGUGCAGGAAGAAGGCCUUCGGGUUGUAAACUGCUUUUGUCAGGGAAGAAAUCCUCUAGGUUAAUACCCUUGGGGGGAUGACGGUACCUGAAGAAUAAGCACCGGCUAACUACGUGCCAGCCGCCGCCGUAAUAC